UGGCGGCGUGCCUAACACAUGCAAGUCGAACGGGUUAGGGAAAUUUCGGAUGGAACUUAACUUAGUGGCGGACGGGUGAGUAACGCGUGGAUAACCUGCCUCACACUGGGGGAUAGCAGCUGGAAACGGCUGGGUAAUACCGCAUAAGACCCCGGUGCCGCAUGGCACUGAGGUAAAAGAUUUAUCGGUGUGAGAUGGAUCCGCGUCUGGAUUAGCCAGUUGGCGGGGUAACGGCCCACCAAAGCGACCGAUCAGUAGCCGGCCUGAGAGGGUGAACGGCCACAUUGGGACUGAGACACGGCCCAAACUCCUACGGGAGGCAGCAGUGGGGAAUAUUGCACAAUGGGCGCAAGCCUGAUGCAAGCAACGCCGCGUGAGUGAAGAAGUAUUUCGGUAUGUAAAGCUCUAUCGGCAGGGAAGAAAGGCCCGAAAGGGAGAUGACGGUACCUGACUAAGAAGCCCCGGCUAACUACGUGCCAGCCGCCGC
rnacentral:rRNA from 1 species